AUUUCAAGUUUCAAGUGUCAACCAAAAUGGUUACCACUUGAGGGGGAGUGUCAAUAGUCCUGCAUUGGAAAAGAAUAAGGAAUUUAAAGGGCUUAUAAGGAUGGAGCAGUGUAGUCAAAAGCGCAAAAAAAGCUUGCUAAAGCAUAAAUGCAUAGUGCCAAAUAGGAAAACACUUUUACAUAUGCAAAGCGAAGUGCAUUUAGUGAAGCGAGGGCUUUUUAAACUUAAAG
rnacentral:misc_RNA from 1 species